UGCUGGUCCUGAGAUAGUGAGUUACCGCAAUUGCUUGUUCAGUCAGUUACAGGUCAAACUCCUUGUUCUAUUCUUUCUGCCCUUCUCACUACUGCACUUGACUAGGAAAAA
ensembl:misc_RNA Y_RNA Y RNA